GUUUAUCUUCGAGUUUUGUACUUGUAGGUACAAAACUUCGCAUUAUUAUAUGUGUGUGCUUUUAGGCACACACUUGAAAAAACUUUUUUCGCAAAUUGAUAUUUGCUGCAAAAAGUUU
rnacentral:sRNA from 1 species